UUUCCGUAGGUGAACCUGCGGAAGGAUCAUUAAUGUGUUUAGGCCUCACGGCUCUUCAUUCCGACGCUGUGCGCCUUCGGGCUGCACGCUGAGGGAGCACAUAUCCACCCCUGUGCACACACACGGUGGCGAGCUGGGUAACGGCUCGCCGCUGAUCUUUACACACGUCUAAAAGUCAUUGUAUGUUUAUUUGAGAUAAAAACACAACUUUCAGCAACGGAUCUCUUGGCUCUC
rnacentral:misc_RNA from 1 species